UUUAUACAAUUUCUAGCAUUAUUGCCAAUUUCGCUAAAUUUAAAUGUCUUUAUAUUAUACUAGACUCUAGUAUAAUAUAAAGACAUUUAAAUUUAGCAAAAUUGGCAAUAAUGCUAGAAAUUGUAACCG